CCACCCCCACCCUGCCACAGCUUCGGGACGACUGGAUCGCCGCGCCUGGGCCGGAGCGAGCCAUCUGCGGGCACUAUGCAAAGCGGGAGACGGCGCGAGCGGCGCCCGGCUCACACUAGCUCUUCCAGGACGCAGAUGGCAAGCAUCUCCUAAAGAAACCGCUGGUCAGACCAAUGAAACCACAGGACAAAGAGUUCUCUUCAAAAGGGAACAACAAGAAGGAGAGAAAAAAAAAAAAGACAACAUUCCUAGUGAUCUUUCCGUGGGAAUGCGGCAAGGAGUCAGCAGGCAUAGUGAAAAUGGGCGGCGAUGGAUACUCCCAGCACUUGCUGAGCACUGCUACGCCUCAGGACUGGGACAGGGACUUAACUGGAAAACCUUUACACAUAAACACUGUUUUGCAAAAGGCACAUUUCUCUAAGCCUCUGUCUCUGGACACUUGUCACGUGGACCUGGCCCCUCUCAUUUUCGGUGCUCUUGAGGACUCCCACGCCUUGUAAGGACUGGCCAUUCUGUCCUGAAUGUGAAUUAUGGGGAGGGGCAAGCUAAAGUGACCCAAAGGAAAAGAAGAAAAAGGCAUGUGUGUAGGUUCACCCUGGCUCUAAAUUGCUUACCGUUAAGUCUUGAGCCAGCUCCUGACGGAAAGAUAAGAGAGAACCAUUCUCUGCUUUCAAUAGGACAGAAGAGCUCCUUGGCACUGGAUGCCUCCGGGUCUGGUUGAGAGAGGAAUGGUUAGGAGACUGUUCUGAGGAUACGCAGACAUCAUCCAAAGCUUCCUACAUUCAGAUGAGGACAGAGGUUGGG
rnacentral:lncRNA from 1 species